rnacentral:lncRNA from 1 species
GUGAUGAAGCACUGGUUGUGAGCCAGAUCAAAACCCUGUCCUGGGGAGACAAUUGGGUAUGUCCAGGUGCAGUUGUUCAAUGUGAUUUAGUCCCUACCAGGAGGUCUGGUUGCCUGGGUUCAGAACAGCAGAGGAAAAAUUAGACAAAAGACACAUUCAGAAGUCAAGGUGCUCUGACAGUUCAGCAGAGAUAUGACCUAACUUCAACCAGCAGACAGGAUCUGACCUAGGAAAGAUGAAGACAAAAACCAGAUCUCAAACAGAUGUAUUGUAGUUCAAGGUAGGGCAAUCAGACCUGUAGGGAGACUGAGCAGGCCACUGAAUUGGGCCCCCGAAAGAGAAGCCCAGACACGAGGACUGGACCCACCCAGGAACUGGGAGUAAAGCAAUUUGGGGACAGAUGGGUCCUAGGCCUCGCCUCUAGGAAACCUGGAUUGCCCAGUCGGUGCUGAAGGUGUUUCAGAUCUGCUUGGAUCUAUAAUAUUGGACUUGCUCUAAAUUACUGAGAAGCAAAUGGAACCACAUGUUACAAAUAUUUCACAAGAACCAGUACCAUACCUUUAAACAUCUUGAUUAUGAUCUACUUGACAGUCAUAUUUGAGUUGUUGCUCUGUAUAACAUAGGAGUUGGGCUACACCUUCAGAAUAACUGGCAAAGCACCACCAACUGGCUGUGUCCUGAGAGGCUACCCAGCAACCUGGCUUUUUGUCUGAGUAUCAGACGCCCACUCUUCAUUGGACCAUAGAGGUUUUUCUCCCUAGUCCUCACCUCCAGCUCACUCCGCCAAGUUAUUAGGAGUCUCUGAAAGAAACACGGAACACCCAGAGCAGAAAGCCAAUUGUCUAAUUGGGCCAUCAGAUAGGGAAGAAAUGACAACUUCAACAAGAUUUCUUGUGAUCUUUGAGAGAGUUCAUCCAUCAUGCAACAUUGAUGAUCCCUGCAGAAGUUAAAAGUCUAGGAAUCAGAAAUUUGUGAAUGUGUUUUGCCUCUUCAAUUGCCUCUACUGAUCAAGAAAGCAAAGACCCCCUAAACUUCAGGACAAAAAGUGAAGAAUAAAUUUGAUUUGUG